rnacentral:rRNA from 1 species
GUAAAGCACUUUCAGUGGGGAGGAGGGUUGAUAGGUUAAGAGCUAAUUAAUUGGACGUUACCCACAGAAGAAGCACCGGCUAACUCCGUGCCAGCAGCCGCGGUAAUACGGAGGGUGCGAGCGUUAAUCGGAAUUACUGGGCGUAAAGGGUGCGUAGGUGGUUUGGUAAGUUAUCUGUGAAAUUCCUGGGCUUAACCUGGGACGGUCAGAUGAUACUGCUGAACUCGAGUAUGGGAGAGGGUAGUGGAAUUUCCGGUGUAGCGGUGAAAUGCGUAGAGAUCGGAAGGAACACCAGUGGCGAAGGCGGCUACCUGGCCCAAUACUGACACUGAGGCACGAAAGCGUGGGGAGCAAACAGGAUUAGAUACCCUGGUAGUCCACGCCGUAAACGAUGUCAACUAGCUGUUGGUUAUAUGAAUAUAAUUAGUGGCGCAGCAAACGCGAUAAGUUGACC